rnacentral:lncRNA from 1 species
CCUGUUAAAGUUGACGUCUUCUUCCUCGUAUUUGUCAAGGUGUGUAUAAUAAAUAGGCAGAUUCCAGGUGACAGCUCGUUAUCUUCUAACUUCAAUUCUCUGCUCCAAUGGUUUUGAAUUCUUUUGUUUUUGUUCCAGCAAGCAGCUCGUUCCAUUUCCUAAUUCGCCAGAUUCUGUGCGUGUAUAAUAUAUUCUUGGUGCCCAAUUCUGACCUCUUUU